UUUAAAUAAAAAAAAAGCACACUCCAAUCCUUUCCAUGUUAUAACAACGCGAAAUUAGAUUAACCGACAGAGAACGUAGAUUAAAACAUCAUUAUCUUGUCUACAAACAGAAGACAGAUUAAUAUCUUCCAAGCUACAGAAAUAUAACACAGAUUAACCCUUUAUUAAUGUCCAUACACAAUACACAGUUUGCAGCUUCCCAUCCCCGGGCCCAGAUACUCAGUAUUCUGUCCCUGGUGCUCACACAAGGCAGACUGUCCCCUAAUUGCUAUUCCGAGCUGUCUGUUAAAGCCUGGGUGCUGAUGAUGGAGGAGCAGUAAACAAGCUUUCUGUGACGGACAGCAGGUUACUGUAAUUCCAAUGUGUGCUUUAACCCAUUCCAUGUAUACCGGCCUCUGUGUGCAGGAGCUGCACACCAACAUAGGAACACCUCCGACAAAUGCUAUAGACUACGUGGGCAAUCGUUACCUCGUCUGCUAAACCGUGCUAAUUUGACUGAAAUAAAGCACUUUUAAAAAAUAAUUAUUUUUACAUUUAAGG